rnacentral:rRNA from 1 species
AUACGGAGGGUGCGAGCGUUAAUCGGAAUUACUGGGCGUAAAGCGUACGUAGGCGGUUGGUUAAGUUAGAUGUGAAAGCCCCGGGCUUAACCUGGGAACUGCAUUUAAAACUGGCGAACUAGAGUUGAGUAGAGGGGAGUGGAAUUUCAGGUGUAGCGGUGAAAUGCGUAGAGAUCUGAAGGAACACCAGUGGCGAAGGCGACUCCCUGGACUCGAACUGACGCUGAGGUGCGAAAGCGUGGGUAGCAAACGGGAUUAGAAACCCUAGUAGUCC